GGGCCGGCUUCUGCAGUGUCUCUGACUCCAGUCCUGUGGCGGUCCAGACAGAGUCCAACCUCACAGACUGCCACAGUUCCUGCAGCUUGAAAAAAGAUGGGUGGACACACACAAUGAUCAGAGAUGAACUCAGCAAGUCAGCUUGGCUUGUGUGAUGAGAAUGGUAAAUGUCUGACCCGCCACCAUGAGACAAGCGUCACUGCCACCCGUGCAGAGUGGACCUGAGGAUGUAGUCCAGGAAUGCGCGUGCAGAAGGUUAGACCUACUGUUGGCUUAAGAAACACCAUGACCUCCUACCAGAAAGGCUACAGAGAUCCACAAAUUCCCCACCAAGCUAUUCCUAUGUUCUAGAAGAAAUUGGAAUCAGAAAUG